CCUCAGCCAUGCUUCUCCUCUCCUGGAGGCACUUCUGACUCCUGACCAGAGACCCCCCCAUUAAAUAAGGGAGCAGCUGUCACACUGGAUGACAGAUGGAAACAUGGAGGUUCCGAAAGGUAAAAAGGUACCUGCCCUAGGUCAUGCUGGGAGCAAGAGGCAGAGCCAGGACGAUGCCCAUUCUAACUCAUAAUCUGACAUUACCCGUGAAAUAUGCGGUGACUGAACACAGACAGGGGGUGACUAGAAAAUGAUCACGACUCAGGCAGACUGGCUUCCGACUGUAAACAUCACCGUCCACUUCUCUUCCCCACCUCCGCCUCCCCUUUCCCUCCCCCUCCCCCAAUCCAUUCCCCCUCCCUCGUCAGCCCAAAGAGCAAUCAGGGCUCUCCGUCCCGUGGGAAGUCCGAGGAAAACCCUCCUCCGUCCAGGUCUCAUAAGACCCAGGUCAGCUGGCCUUGGUGAGUUCCCGAUAGAGCAUCUCCAUUGUCCAGACAUCAUUUCUCUGGUCCCUACAGACUAGCGCUUACCUGUGCUAUCUUCUCUGCUGUGGAAGCUUCCGUUUUUCUCUUCAUACGCAUGCUUCCUUCAUUCCUCAGUGUGACCAAGAGCGACUUUGCUGAGCUGUGUGGUGAUGCUGAAGUUGCUUCAGAGAUGUUGUGCCACUUUGUCCCCAGCAGCAGCCUGCCAGAGAUCCAGCAGCCUUCCCAGAGUUUGGUCUCAGGGCGCAGAGUCCAAGGAAUGGGAGAUCCGUGCACACUGACAUGAAAAUGAUAUUUGGGUCUGGUGUGGACUCUGAGGCUCCGAAAGCCCACAGACUGAGACUGAGCGGCUAAGCCAAACUGAGCAGCUGCCAAUGUCAGGCUGGAUGUGAGAGCCUGGUCUGGCGAUCAGCAGACAUGAGCUUCAAGAUGCCUGCAGCCACCAGCUUGCAGGGUGACCUAGGGCAAGCUCCAGCCUCUUCUCAGUCUCCUCUGCAGCGUGCUUAAAGAAAGUUGUGUGGAUUCCUUGUGCUUGGAAUAUUGCAAAACAGAACACUGUCAUGACAUGGUCUGAGCCUUCUUAGAGGAAGCAGCCUGGUAUACAGGAUGUAAAUGAUGGAUUGCCUCCCUGACCCAGAGAUGUGCUUUGUGAAAUACAUUUCCCAAAUAUAAACUUUCUGUGCAAGUCACUGGCAUGG